UACGUAGGGUGCAAGCGUUAAUCGGAAUUACUGGGCGUAAAGCGUGCGCAGGCGGUUCGCUAAGACAGAUGUGAAAUCCCCCGGGCUUAACCUGGGAACUGCAUUUGUGACUGGCGGGCUAGAGUAUGGCAGAGGGGGGUAGGAAUUCCACGUGUAGCAGUGAAAUGCGUAGAGAUGUGGAGGAAUACCGAUGGCGAAGGCAGCCCCCCUGGGCCAACACUGACGCUCAGGCACGAAAGCGUGGGGAGCAAACAGG
rnacentral:rRNA from 1 species